AACGAACGCUGGCGGCAUGCCUAACACAUGCAAGUCGAACGAGACCUCCGGGUCUUGUGGCGCACGGGUGCGUGACGAGUGGGGAGCUACCCUUGGGUUCCGUGUCCCUCACCGAAAGGGGUCCUAAUAACGGAUAAUGUCUUAGGGCCUAAGAUUUAUUGCCUUUGGAUGGGCCCUCGUUGGAUUCGCGGGUUGGUAGGGUAAUAGCCUACCAAGGCGUGGAUCCAUAGCUGGUCUGUGAGCAUGCUCAGCCACACUUGGACUGCGACACGGCCCAGACUCCUACGGAAGGGAGCAGAGGGGAAUAUUGUAGAAUGGGGGAAGGCCUGAUCCAGCCAUGCCGCGGAAGUGAUGAAGGCCUUAGGGUAGUAAAGCUCUUUUACCCGAGAUGAUAAUGACGGUACCGGGUGAAUAAGCACCGGCUAACUCCGUG
rnacentral:rRNA from 1 species